ensembl:lncRNA
UGCUUGGAAUAUUAUGAUCUGGUUGUUAUCACGGAAACAUGGUGGGAUGAAUCCCACAGUUGGAACACUCUGACUGAGGGCCUCAGACUCUUCAGAAGGAAUAGAUAGGGCAGGAAUGGAGGGGGAGUUGCCCUCUAUGUUAGGAAGUGGAUAGAUUGCAAAGAGCUGUGUCUGAGUAACAGCCAUGACCAGGUUGAGAGCUUACGGGUUAAAAUCAGGGAUUGGUCCAGUAAAGAAGAUCUAGUGGUUGGGGUCUGUUACAGGCCACCUGAUCAGGGGGAGCCUGUUGAUGUGGUCUUCUUGCUCCAGCUGCAGGAAGUGUUGUGUUCAUGGGCUCUUGUCCUGAUGGGGGAUUUCAAGCACCCAGAUAUCUGCUGGGAUAGUUGCAUGGCAGACAGCAGACAGUCCAGGAGAUUCCUGGAGUCUGUUGAGGAUAACUUCCUGGUCCAGGUAUUAGACGGACCGACCCAAGGUGAAGCCCUACUGGACCUGGUGCUCACCAGUGUGGAGGAGAGCAUUAGAGGGAUAAAGAUUGGAGGCAGCCUGGGCUGUAGUGAUCAUGCCCUGGUGAAGUUUGUGAUCUGGAGGAAUGCAGGCCUGGCUAAGAGUAGAGUCAGGACCCUGAACUUCAGGAGAGCAAAAUUCCGGCUGCUCAAGGAACUGCUGGGUGGGAUCCCCUGGGAAACUGUCCUUAAGGGCAUAGGAACAGAGCAGAGCUGGCAGCUCUUUAAGGACACCCUCCUGAGAGUGCAAGAGCUCUCCAUCCCCCAGCAAAAGAAAUCGAGCAGAGGAGGUGGGCAACCAGCAUGGCUGAGCAAGGACCUGCAGCUUAAGCUGAGGGAAAAGAGAGAAAUGCAUAUGAAGUGGAAGCAGGGCUGUAUAGCCUGGGAGGAAUAUAGGGCUGUUGUCUGCAUGUGUAGAGACAUGAUCAGGAAAGCCAAGGUGCAGAUAGAGCUGAAAUUGGCUAGGGAUGUGAAAAAUAACAAGAAGGGGUUCUACAGGUACAUAGGCAGGAGGAGACAGGUCAAGGAGAGUGUUCCCCCUCUGAUAAAUGAGGAUGGAGAAGUGGCUUCCUCAGACAUGGAAAAAGCUGAGGUGCUCAAUAAGUGCUUUGCCUCAGUCUUCACUGGUAGUCAGACUCCCCACGUCUGCCAGGACCCUGAACCUCAAGGUGUGGGUGAGAGGAGCUUAUUCUGUCCCACUGUAACAGUGAAACAAGACUGAGACCUCCUCAUGAAACUGAAAGUAUGGAAGUCCAUGGGGCCAGAUGAUAUCCAUGCUAGGGUUCUGAGAGACACUCUC